GACGAACGCUGGCGGCGUGCUUAACACAUGCAAGUCGAACGGAAAGGCCCUGCUUUGGUGGGGUGCUCGAGUGGCGAACGGGUGAGUAACACGUGAGUAACCUGCCCGUUACUUUGGGAUAACUUCAGGAAACGGGGGCUAAUACCGGAUAGUAGCACCUGCUGCAUGGUGGUGGUUGGAAAGGUUCGGCGGCUGGGGUAGGACUCGGGGCUGAGCUGCUUGUUGGUGGGGUAGUGGUUUACGAUGGCUUUGACGGGUAGCCGGCCUGAGAGGGUGACGGGCCACAUUGGGCCUGGGAUACGGCCCAGACUCCUACGGGAGCAAGCAGUGGGGAAUAGUGCACAAUGGGCGGAAGCCUGAUGCAGCAACUCCGCGUGCGAGAUGACGGCCUUCGGGUUGUAAACCGCUUUCGACUGUAAAGAAGCGUGAGUGACGGUAAUGGGUAAAGAAGCACCGGCUAACUACGUG
rnacentral:rRNA from 1 species